rnacentral:rRNA from 1 species
CACUGAAAUACAACCUUAUUAUUGCCUGAUCUCAUCUGAUCUUAGCAGCUCAGCAGGGUUGGGCCUGGUUCGAACUUGCUGGAAGACUGCUAAAAAUUACAGGUACCACAGUGG